GUAGGCCUUAUUGACUUGUUCCCGCCCAACAGAGCUGCAUUCCUCUUCCAUCCGGGAGCCAAGCACCUGAACGUUCAACACACAGGAGAAGUGAGAAGUCUUCUAUGUUAUGCUGGCAACUGCAAAAUUUUGAAAAGGUUACAGCUCCUCAAAUCUGGAAGAAGGAUGCCAGGUCUUUCAGGAUGGUUCACCAAGUCCUGCCACAGACUUCUGCCGUGUUUUAAUCUGUUUGACUUCUAAUUCAAAGUCACAUUUGUAUGCACUGCUGAAAAUGCCUCAGAGCUGACACUCUGAAACACCUGAGUGAAUAUUGACCUCUCUGGAGCUGCAAUUCAUGAGGUAAUCUGUCCUACAGUAACCAGUUCAAGUGAAAGAUUUCUCACUAAAAUAUUUGAAGUAAUAUACUGACAAGCUAAUGCCUCUGAAUACAAUUGAUGUCCAUCUUGGCCUCCUUAAGGCAACCUUCACAAUCCCAUUUACCACACAUCCCAUCCCAAGAAAGGUCUUCUUAAUACUUUUUAUUCCCUUUACUUCAGCACAGUAGCUAAGUAUUUUGCCUGUGAUAAAUGUAUUUCAUUUACACUUUAGAAUGAUCUGCACACAAAACAGCCUACUUAAAAGGACUUUAAUCUUUAUGUCCAAAACUAAAUACAUUAAGUGAGUACCAG